UACGUAGGGUGCAAGCGUUGUCCGGAAUUAUUGGGCGUAAAGAGCUCGUAGGCGGUGUGUCGCGUCGGUCGUGAAAACUUGGGGCUUAACCCUGAGCUUGCGGUCGAUACGGGCAUCACUGGAGUUCGGCAGGGGAGAAUGGAAUUCCCGGUGUAGCGGUGAAAUGCGCAGAUAUCGGGAAGAACACCCGUGGCGAAGGCGGUUCUCUGGGACGGUACUGACGCUGAGACGCGAAAGCGUGGGG
rnacentral:rRNA from 1 species